rnacentral:ncRNA from 1 species
UAUUCUUCAUGCUGUCGAGGUUCUUCGCGCCGGGCAUCCGGGGCGGAGCGAAGAUGGGAAGCCGGUGCGAAACCGGCGCUGCCCCCGCAACUGUAAGCGGCGAGCGGCGGUCGAUCAUGCCACUGGUUCGGCAAGGAACCGGGAAGGCCAGACCGCUGCGGCGACCCGCGAGCCAGGAGACCUGCCUCGUCAGAUACGUCCUC